GUGAGGAAUUUUCCGCAAUGGACGAAAGCCUGACGGAGCAAUGCCGCGUGAAGGAUGAAGGCCUAUGGGUUGUAAACUUCUUUUCUUAGAGAAGAAUAUUGACGGUAUCUGAGGAAUAAGCAUCGGCUAACUCUGUGCCAGCAGCCGCGGUAAGACAGAGGCUGCAAGCGUUAUCCGGAAUGAUUGGGCGUAAAGCGUCUGUAGGUGGCUUCAAAAGUCUCCUGUCAAAGAUCAGGGCUUAACCCUGGGCCGGCAGGAGAGACUCUGAGGCUAGAGUUUGGUAGGGGCAGAGGGAAUUCCCGGUGGAGCGGUGAAAUGCGUAGAGAUCGGGAGGAACACCAAAGGCGAAAGCACUCUGCUGGGCCACAACUGACACUGAGAGACGAAAGCGAGGGGAGCAAAAGGGAUUAGAUACCCUAGUAGUCC
rnacentral:rRNA from 1 species